UACGUAGGGUGCGAGCGUUGUCCGGAAUUAUUGGGCGUAAAGAGCUUGUAGGCGGUUUGUUGCGUCUGCCGUGAAAAUCCGGGGCUCAACCCCGGACUUGCGGUGGGUACGGGCAGACUAGAGUGUGGUAGGGGAGACUGGAAUUCCUGGUGUAGCGGUGAAAUGCGCAGAUAUCAGGAGGAACACCGAUGGCGAAGGCAGGUCUCUGGGCCACUACUGACGCUGAGAAGCGAAAGCGUGGGGAGCGAACAGG
rnacentral:rRNA from 1 species